GAUGAACGCUGGCGGCGUGCUUAACACAUGCAAGUCGAACGAAGCACUUUAUUUGAUUUCCUUCGGGGCUGAUUAUUUUGUGACUGAGUGGCGGACGGGUGAGUAACUCGUGGGUAACCUGCCUUGUCCAGGGGGAUAACAGUCGGAAACGGCUGCUAAUACCGCAUAAGCGCACGGCAUCGCAUGAAGCUGUGUGAAAAGCUCCGGUGGUAUAAGAUGGACCCGCGUUGGAUUAGCUAGUUGGUGAGGUAACGGCCCACCAAGGCGACGAUCCAUAGCCGACCGGAGAGGGUGACCGGCCACAUUGGGACUGGGACGCAGCCGGAACUCCUACGGGAGGCAGGAAUGGGGAAUAUUGCACAAUGGGCGAGAGCCUGAUGGAGCGACGCCGCGUGAGCGAAGAAGUAUUUCGGGAUGUAAAGCUCUAUCAGCAGGGAAGAUAAUGACGGUACCUGAAGAAGAAGCACCGGCUAAAUACGUG
rnacentral:rRNA from 1 species